GUGCCAGCAGCCGCGGUAAUACCGGCAGCUCAAGUGAUGUCCCAUAUUAUUGGGCCUAAAGCGUCCGUAGCUGGCCGACCAAGUCUCCCGGGAAAUCCGCCAGCCCAACUGGCGGGCGUCCGGCGAAACCUGUAAGGCUUGGGACCGGAAGACCCGACGGGUACGUCCAGGGUAGGAGUGAAAUCCUGUAAUCCUGGACGGACCGCCGAUGGCGAAAGCACGUCGGGAAGACGGAUCCGACGGUGAGGGACGAAAGCCAGGGUCUCCAACCGGAUUAGAUACCCGGGUAGUCC
rnacentral:rRNA from 1 species